AUUGAACGCUGGCGGCAGGCCUAACACAUGCAAGUCGAGCGGAUGAAGGGAGCUUGCUCCUGGAUUCAGCGGCGGAUGGGUGAGGAAUGCCUAGGAAUCUGCCUGGUAGUGGGGGAUAACGUCCGGAAACGGGCGCUAAUACCGCAUACGUCCUGAGGGAGAAAGUGGGGGAUCUUCGGACCUCACGCUAUCAGAUGAGCCUAGGUCGGAUUAGCUAGUUGGUGGGGUAAAGGCCUACCAAGGCGACGAUCCGUAACUGGUCUGAGAGGAUGAUCAGUCACACUGGAACUGAGACACGGUCCAGACUCCUACGGGAGGCAGCAGUGGGGAAUAUUGGACUAAGGGCGAAAGCCUGCUCCAGCCAUGCCGCGUGUGUGAAGAAGGUCUUCGGAUUGUAAAGCACUUUAAGUUGGGAGGAAGGGCAGUAAGUUAAUUCCUUGCUGUUUUGACGUUACCAACAGAAUAAGCACCGGCUAACUUCGUG
rnacentral:rRNA from 1 species